rnacentral:tRNA from 1 species
GGGGAUGUAGCUCAGUUGGGAGAGCGGCGCGUUCGCAACGCGUAGGUCGUGAGUUCAAGUCUCAUCAUCUCCACCA